UACGUGAGGGGCGAACGUUGUUCGGUGUCACUGGGCUUAAAGGGUGCGUAGGUGGUUGCGUAAGUAACGUGUGAAAUCCCUCGGCUUACCCGGGGAAUUGCAUGUUAUACUGCGUGACUUGAGGGCUAAAGGGGAAAAGGGAACUCCAGGUGUAGCGGUGAAAUGCGCAGAUAUCUGGGGGAAGGCCGGCGGCGAGGGCGCUUUUCUGGUUAGUACCUGACACUGAGGCACGAAAGCGUGGGGAGCAAACAGG
rnacentral:rRNA from 1 species